UACGUAGGAGGCAAGCGUUAUCCGGAAUUACUGGGCGUAAAGAGCGCGUAGGUGGCGCCGUACGACAGCCGUGAAAGCCCCCGGCUCAACUGGGGAGGGUCGGUUGUAACGGCGGUGCUAGGAGUGCAGGGAGAGGGAAGUGGAACUCCGGGAGUAGCGGUGAAAUGCGUAGAGACCCGGAGGAACACCAGUGGCGAAGGCGGCUUCCUGGC
rnacentral:rRNA from 1 species